rnacentral:lncRNA from 1 species
ACCCAAAAUCAAACAAAUAAGCUGGAUCAACUUUAUAUAUAGAAUAUAAACCAACAACGUACAUCACACAAAUAUAUGAAAUAGAAAUAUUAUAGGACUAACACUCACUUCAAAUUUCAUUGUAUAUAUGUAAUAUAUGAAUUAAUUUCAGAAGACGUGAAUGAUUGAUCAAUGUGAAAGAUGAAGUCAUCACUGCAAGAUCAAACAUCGAAACAUUUAUGGUAUAUUUGUCUAAGGACUGGUAGUUGAUUGAGGAGGUUUAGUGUCCUUCGUAGGGAACGUGGGUUUUGGCAACUCAGGCAAGUGGGGAAAAGUUGGCAGUUCAGGCUUUGGCAGCUCAGGCAAGUGGGGAAAAGCUGGCAAUUCAGGCUUUGGUAACUCAGGCAAUUCAGGUUUUGGAAGAGUGGGAAUUUCAGGCUUUGGUAACUCGGGCAAUUCAGGUUUAGGAAAGGCUGGGACUUCAGGUAAUGGUGGAAGCUCAACCUUGGGCACUGAAGGCAAUUCAGGCUUGGGAAGCUCAGGUACCUCAGGCAAUGCUGUCUCCAGAAGAUGUCGUGCAUCUACAGAGAUUGAUAGAGUGAUGAGUGAGAGC